UCCUCCGUGGCGCAAUUGGCUAGCGCGUCUGACUGUUAAUCAGGAGGUAAGAUAUACCCGAAACAUGCAACAUGGGGAAUUAGAUGCUAACAAAUUGUCAAGGUUGAAAGUUCGAGCCUUUCCGGGGGAG
rfam:Pochonia chlamydosporia 170 chromosome 1, whole genome shotgun sequence.